CUGACUGGGCCACAACGCUGCUGGGACAGCUGUGACAGCCUGAGGAAUUAAAAACGAGACGGGGAGUCCUGUUUCUCCCACAGAACCUUCCAUUUCAUCAGAGUCUGCUUACAGAAUGAGCGCUUUACUAGUUUUAUCAAAGUCGGAAAAAUAGUAAUGGAAAGACACAUGCAACACCAGCAGGAAGGGCUACUCAAACGUGCAGUGCUUGGUCCCUCACCCGCACUGGCAGGGAAUGGCUUCCUGCAGGACUGGCUGAAGCUCUCUUGGGCAUAAAUUAAUUUUUCCCCUACCAAAACGUAAGGAAAAAUAGUUCCAGCACUGAAAUCUUACACUCUGCGGAGAUGUCAAAACCUGAGGACACAACCUGUUUCAAGAAAUUCAGGUGCCUCUUAUCUCUGUUCCUGGAUAGUUCUGUCCUAGCUGAUAAUGUUCAGCCACCACCAGACCAAGGGCAGCUGGAAGAAUGAAGAAACAGAUAUGAUUAUGUCCUUGCCAUCUGUAGUG